AUGAAGAUGGACCGCGACUUUGGCUUUUCUCAAGACAACAAACAUCUAUCAAAUAAUUUAUGUGGAGAAGAACAUGAAGUCCUAUCAAUUAUUAAAUCAUCAGAUAAGAGAGAGAAAAAAAAAACGGUAGAGAGAAAAAAAAAGAUUUUUUUGACCAUGACAAUAUCUAAGCGAUGCAAAGCUACCACACUUUGUCAAACAGCACUUCAGAGUAUGAGAAUAGAAAAAAUGGUGACCAGUGAUAGAUACCGAGAAAAGUCUCAAGGGGCACCCUAUUCCCUACAUAGUGACAUUUGGAAUUAGUCCUAAAAAAAAUGGUUGUGACGGAAGCCCCCGAAGUGAGAGUUUCUAGUUCCUAUACCCUGACCCAUGUGUGAUUUAUAUUGUGCUUAUAUUUCAACAUUUACGGUAACACUUUACAAUACAGUUGAAUAACUACCCAUUAUAAUCAAUUAAAAUAUUUACUAACAUUUGUUAACAGUUUGUUGUAGCCUACAUACCAAAUUGUUUAACAAACUGUUAUAUAGUCAAUGUUAAUAACGCGACACUACCCAGGUUUUGGUUAACGUGAAAAGGAUUACUAUUCUAUAAUCAAAUCAAUAUACAGUAACUUUACCAUUUGACCCGACAACUAGGCAUUCAUAUUAUAGCAAUACAUUGUCUGACUGUACCGCAAAGCACUCAACUUUGUCCACUCACUAACAGGAUGAUUUGUCUUCAAAAAAAAAAAAGUUUGGGUUGUUCAAUGUAUGAUAAUAUUCACAAAUUACUUGCCAAUGUGUUAAAAUUCAGUACAAUCACGUACCAGUUCAAGCAAUAACAUCACAAAGUGGGAAACACAUCAGCAGGUGAUUUAGCCUUAAUGACACACUGGUAUGUAUAUUAUAAGAAAAGCAAACUGAGCGUUCCUAACUGCAGUAAUCCCUAGUCCCUAAACCAUGGCCUAAUAGCAUCUGUGUAGGCAGUUUCUAGAUAUAUGGCACUGAGUGUUGUAUAUUGGGAUAGGAAAACUCACUGCAAAAAGCACAUUCCCCAUCUUAUUCAACAUCAAAUAAUGUUUAUUAGUGGUACCUUGGUAGUUCUGGGAAGUGCCACCAACCCAUGCUUCAAAAAAACAAAACAGAUUUGCAAAAUAAAAUAAAAAGUUUACAUUGCCUCCAAUAUUUCUGCUUAUAAAACAGACAAAAAAACUAAAAAAAAUCGCUACCAUUCAACAACAAACACUUCAAAACUUCAAGUGCUGCUAGAACUUUCAAGCUAAAAAAAAAAACCAACAAACUAGUGCCAUCUUGGGUGAUUUGCAAGUAAAAAAAUAAAAUAACCAAAACUGAAAAAUGCAUUUUGUGGCUUGUUAAUCCCAAGUCUGUUGAGAAAAGGACACCGUAGGCAGUGCUUGGCAUCUUCCACACAGAGCUGAAUCUCAAACACGAAGGACCCUGAGUUGACGACCCUUGUUCAGCGCCUUCUGGGUCGUAUUCAUAAAGCGCCGUAGAGUAGGUGUGCCGAUUUAGGAUCAGCUUUAGAGUUUGUAUCAUAUAAUGAAUAAGAUUACAUGAACAGGUGGAACCUGAUCCUAGACGCUUUGUGAAUAUGGGACCAGGUACGCAUAUUUUUGGGGGAUCUUUUCUUUGGGGCGGAGAACAGCAUUGCGGGGGGGGGGCUGGAUGUAAAUGAUUUGCGCUGUCCCAUCAUCUCUGCAGUACAACUAACAGAAAGUAGGCUGGUCCAUUAUCAACCCAAUAAAGACACUUCUGUUCUGAGUAGUAAACUUUAUGCCGAAACAUGGAAUGCUUGUGUAAACCAACCCUUUUGGUGUGGGGGGAAAGGGGGGAAAGGGGUAGGUUCAACAGUGUUAACACAGAUUCUGUGUGACUGGUUAAAAUGAAAGGAAUUUUCUAUUUUUUUUUAUGUUGGAUUUCAACUAUCUUAUCACCAACAAAUAUG
ensembl:lncRNA